UACAUUAUAACAUUAUAUAUAAUUGCGUAUUUUUUUACUUUCUGCUCAUGCGAUCAGUUUUAUUGGACUAGGUUUUGUAUUUUGAUAACGCGGGCUUCAAACUAACGUAUUUAUACUUUUACCAAUUGAACGAAAUAAGAAACUUUUGUGACGAUAACGAACUAGAUGUUUCACAUUGUAUGGCAUGUUUUUACAGGAUCCUAUAAUGGUGGCUGCAGUAUAGAGAAGACGAUCAUGCUGAUAGGUGAAACUGGCACUGGCAAAACGACAUGGAUAACCUGCUCCACCAUACACCAUGAAAAAGGAAGCAGAAUACCGUACACAGUGUAUACUAUAGAUACAACGGGAUUUGGUGAGGAUCGCCCGGGGUCUCGAUAGAGACAUUACAAUCGUCAAAUAAAUGCAUAGCUUGUUUACAGCGAACCCCCAUCAGAGAAUGUUAAUGACCGAUGCAGUUUGUUUUCUUAUAAAGAGGGCCUCGAUGCCAAACUUAAAACCAGACAGUUUCAGUCAAUCGUGUCGUUGUUUGGGAAGGAUAUUGAGAGGAACAUGUGUUCACUGAUAACGUUCGUUGAUGGAGAUGACCCACCCGUUUGUGCUGUUUUAGAUAAAUCUAACUUUCCAUUAAGAAAACGUUUUGCGUUUUAUAAUGGUGGUCUGUACUCUACAAACAGUGGUCUUCAUGAAUCCCCAUUGGCUUGCCCGUUCUGGGAAAUCGGAAUAACAAGUUAAAAAAAUAGUUUACCAUCUAGAAACGAUGCAAACAAAAGGAAUGCAGCUUACAAAUGAGGUGCUAACUGAAAGAAGCACAUUAGAGGCUACAGUCAAUAAUCUUCAACCCAGACUAAAAGCUGGACUUGUUCGUGUAGAGAAAAGAAAAAACAAAAUUAUUUGAAAUAGCAAGAAUCAAAAACUUUACUUACACCAUUAAAAAUGUCAAAAUGUCAAAAGUUGACUUGCCGAAGAGUCAACGAGUUACAAUUUGCUUAAGAUACAAUUCCACCUGCCAUGAACAAUGUUUAUGUUCUAACGACGAGGAAACAAUCAAAUGUUGGGCAAUAACCGCUGACGGAAACUAUGAAAGCACGAUAUGAACAAGCAUCAGGACGUAUUUUGACGCAAGAACAACUACUGAAUCGCAUUCGUAAUGAACUUGACGAUCAUACAAACACCAUCGAAAGCAUGAUACAGGCCAUUACGAACUGCAAAAAUCGUCUUUCUAAAAUUGCACUGCGCCCGAAUCGUCUGAAAAUGAAUGACUAUAUAGACCUAGCUGAUGAUAGAAAAAGAGAAGCAUUGGAAGAAAAUGGAUACAUUGAAUGUGGCAGUGCACUCAACAAACUUAAAGAACGGAACACAAUUUUACAAGUCGUGGAUAAGUUUUUAAACAAGGCAUCGUACGUGAUGAACGUUAAUCCAGAACGCAAGUCUGAAGGAAAAGAUAUUUUUAAACGUUUGGCGAACAUUUUUAAGGACUCACUGAAUAUUGUGGUUGAAAAUAUCAGAUUCAGUAUGUAAUCGUGAAGAAAACUGACGCAUUGCAGAACUCAUGGAAACGCUUAUUAGAGCAACCUCUUUCCAAAAUAAAUGAUACCUUUUGCUCUA